rnacentral:misc_RNA from 1 species
AAAGCUCUUUGUUUUUUGAAAUGAUGCUUUUAUGAGAUAGAGCUUUUUUAGAUAAUGCUUUUUUAGAUAAUGCUGGGGAAGGUUUUCCGGUUUAUCUCGGAGGGCUUGUAGCUCAGUUGGUUAGAGCGCGCGCUUGAUAAGCGUGAGGUCGGAGGUUCAAGUCCUCCCAGGCCCACCAAUUUACCUAUCCAUUUGCCUUUAUCCGUUUAUUUGCCGAUUUAUCGGUCUAUUGAAUUUAAGUGUUGGUAGCAGUUUUUAUAAUGAUGAGAAAUCAUGCUUAUAAAAGAACUCCUUAUAAAAGGCUUGUUUUUAAAAUGUGACGCUUAUCCAUUUCGCUUAGGCAAGAGAAACUUCAAGCGGUUCAAAUGCAAAAGGCUUUAAAUUUUGCAAAACACUUUGAAUUUUAAAGUGAUCCAAGUUCGUGAUCUCGAAUUUAAAAGUUUCGAAUGCUUUAUCCUUUUUUGGGGGCCGUAGCUCAGCUGGGAGAGCACCUGCUUUGCAAGCAGGGGGUCGUCGGUUCA